rnacentral:rRNA from 1 species
ACAGUGUUGCUGCUAGGCAAUGUGGUGUUUGGGUCGGCUCGUGGGAUUGCCACUCCGUUCGAAGUCCAGCAUUGAGUAUGGUACCCUGGAUUUGGCCCAUAGAGGGUGAAAGGCCCGUGCGAAUGGAAGUUCCAGAUAUGAAAGGCGAUUCACCAGGCCGGCCUUAGAGUCGGGUUGUUUGAGAAUGCAGCCCAAAGUGGGUGGUAAACUCCAUCCAAGGCUAAAUACUAGCACGAGUCCGAUAGCGAACAAGUACCGUGAGGGAAAGUUGAAAAGUACUCUGAAGAGAGAGUAAACAGUACGUGAAACCGCAUAAAGGUAAACGGGUGGCGUCAAGCUGCAAGCCUGGAGGAUUCAGCUGGUCAUUUUGUAGAGUAUACGUCCUGUGUAUCGCAGUCGGUGAUAGUGAGUAGUCUGCUGGCAAACGGCAGGCCCGGUCGCAAGACUGGGCUGUACGCUCCACGUGUUCGGUGGUGUACGCUGCUCAGCUAUUGGACUGGAUGGCCAGUGCACUUUCUCCAUUAAGGUGAACACCACGACCGGUGGGACUGCCAGUCUGGUAUAGCCAAGUUGUGCCUAUUCCGGCAUUCGUGUGGAUUAGGCUCAAUCACAGGCAGAUUCGGUGGACGGUGAGUAGACUUCGGUUUGCUCAUGUUAUCGGUCACUGGCUGUCAACGGGUUUGUCCGCUGAGGUUGCAGUCCUUGGUGGGUGGCCUGGUGGGCUACACUGGUAAGAAUAACUGUGCAGGGCACCGGAGUUGUCGGUCUCUAAUCCGGUUGACGCACGCGCUGCAAGUGUGUGUGGAGGUGCCAUUGCGGCCUGUCGUUGGUUGGGUGUGAUUGCCGUGUCGCCUGCGAAAAGUAGGUCCGGUAGUGGCUCGACUACGUUCGGUGCAUGAAUUGGUGCUUCUCUGUCAGUCGGUGUGGACCCAACAGUCUGUGGUGUGGUGGUAGACGAGCUACCCGACCCGUCUUGAAACACGGACCAAGGAGUUUAACAUACACGCGAGUCAUUGGGGACUUCCGAAACCCACAGGCGCAAUGAAAGUGAAGCCUCCUUUGGAGGUGUGGUGAGAUCCUGCUGUUACUCGCAUCUGCACUUGUGUAGCUUGUCGGCACAGGGCGCAAAGAGCGGUAGGCGCAUCACCGGCCCGUCUCAU